AGCAAGGAUUAUCAACCAAUAGAAAGGCACAGAUUGUAAUCAUACAUAUAUAAUCAAUCAUACAUACAUAUGUGUGUAUGUAGUUAUUUCCAGUAUAGCUGCUGGUGACGCUCAAGCAUGCAUGUGCAGCAGCUUAUAUAUAUGUGUGUGUGUCUACUUGCUUCGUGUCACACAUACUUGUUGUCGGCUUUUGCAUGAUGGAAAUCAAAAAUUUUAGAUAUUAGCGUUAUGCACCCGACACGCUCACAUAUAAGCUGCUGGGCAUGUUCAUAUGCUUGAGCGUCAGCAGAAGCUAGUAUAGUUUGUAUUUGUUUACAGUGGAAAUGUUUAUUGCCCAGGCAGUGAACCGCUAAUCUCCCUCUCUUUCUCUUGAAGUAUCAUAUGUGCAGUGGUGCCGUUUUUUCUUUUUAAUAUGAAAGCGCGGCCAACAACAACCGUUUAAACAAAUGAUUUAUGAAAAGCAACGGAAUUUUUAUAUACUAUAAAUAAUUUGGUGCUGGUUUCUCAAGGGAAGCAAUUGUUAUCAGGAAGCAGAGUAAGAGAGAGCAGUUGAUAAGUGAGUUCAGUGGAUAUUGAGGCAUAAGAGACCUUACUAAGCCAAACAGAGGUUAUGUUUAAAAAGCAUCACAAUAAAUAUUGUAGCUGAAAUAGUUAAGUUAGUAUGAGAGGUACGUAGGAAAAUCGGAGCAAUGAGGCAAAUCUGCAGGAAAUGCACAAAUUAGAAAUCUACAACAAAACCAAACAGCAACAAAAAAACAGAAGUUAUAUAUGAAUGAACAUAGAAAAAUACAAAAACAGAUUUGGUUUCAACAAAACUACAAUCAAAAUGAAGCAAAUACAUAAGCAAAAGAGAUGUGAAAGUAAAAUGAAAUAACAACAAAUUACAAAAAACACAAUCAAAAUCAGCUACCGAAAACAACUAUACAAUAAAACAAUACAAAAGCAACAAAUAAAGUAUUACAGCCUGGAAAUAUUUUUAACAGUUCGCAGCAAAUAGACAAAUAAAAAUUGCUAAGAGUAUUUUUUUCUUUACUAGAAAUUCAUUUUUGUGUUCUUCUAUUGCAAGGCAUAUUUUUACAAAGCAAUAACUACAAUAGUUUUAACAUACACACAUACAAGCAUAAGCUAUUGCAUAGCUCUAAAAUAACCUGAAAUAUGAAAAAAAUAGCUUAAGUUUUUGUUCAUUUACAUACUUACAUAUAUACAAUUUUUUUUUAAUGCAAACUAAUUAUUAAAGCAACAAAUAGUAAAGAGCCAACUGUACAAGAUUUUUUAUAUACAUAUUUACAAUUACAAUUAUUACACCAAUAUUUUUUUAAUACAUACAUAUGUAUAUACUAUAAAAUAUAUACAAAACAACUACUGCAACUCAAAGUAGCUACAACAAAAAAUAGUGAAAAUAGCAAUAGCAAAGCCUAAUUAUUAUUAAUAUACAUACAUACAUACGCAUACGAAGAAAGUUGAAAUGGAACAAUAGAAUUUAUUUAUUUUUAAUGCAAAACAAAAAUACAAACAAGCAAAGCAGCUUUAAGCUUUAUUUAACUUAAAGCAAAAAAUCAAUCUAAUUAAUUUAUCUACACAACACAAAUGUGAAACAGCAAGCACUUAAAGUGCAUGCAUGAUGAAAAUCACCACCGCCGCUAAUAGUGUUUUUUUUUUGUUUUAAUUUGUUUUGUGAAUUAAUUUUAUAAAACAAUUUGAAAUAUUUAUAAAUUUAAUUAGUUAAUUUUUAUAAGUAUACAACAUCUUAAGAGAAUACAAUACAAUAACAAAUAUGAAAGAAAAAUAAUGCAUACAACAGCAGCAAAAAACUGUGAUUUUACAAGGAAGCAAAUAAACAAGCAAAACAAAUAAAAUAGCGAAAAUAGCAAAAUAUUUAUUAUUAAUUACCACAAACAAGCAAACGUACAUACAUACAUACAUACAAACAUAAUAAAUAAUUACACACAUAGAUAGUAGCAAAAACGGAUGCAAUAGCAAAAUAAUAAAUUAUAGUGAAAAUUUGUACGAGCAAUGUAACGCCGACAGGUAAAACAGGUUUUUUAAAAAAAAUAUUUAAUUUUUAUAUUUUCUUUCUCAAGUAAGCUCAAAUUACUUAUUUUUACACAUUACAUUUAUGCUAAAUAAUAAUAGACGCAAUAUUUUUUUAAAAUAAUUUUACUUAGUACAUACAAAAUGUGCAAAUGCAAAUGAGCACAAAUUAACGCAAACAGGUCUACAACAAAAUAUACACAUACAUACGUAUAUGUAUUACAAUUACGCAAAUGGCAAAAGAGGAAUAUAAGCAAAUAAAACAACAAAGCAGCAGCUAGCAUGAAAUACAAAAGUAAAAAAUGAAAGCAAAAUAAAAAAUAAAAAAUUAUUGUAAAAAACAAAUAAAUGUAAAAAAGUGAAUUACAACACAGAACCGAAAACAUCGAAUUACCACUAAAUAGUAGUUUCAUUGAUAUACAUACACACAUACAUGCAUAGAAAUUUAUAAAAAGCAUACAAAUGCAAUUUAAAGACAAAACCAAGCAAGUAAACCAUAAAUUAUACAACAACAAAACCUUAUUGUUAACAUACAAAUAACGGCGAGCCGUAAAGUAAAAAUAAAAAAAUUGAGCAACAGAAUGUUUUUGAGCAAAAAAAAAAAAAAACAGAAAUAUUAAAUGUACAUCAAGAAAUUCAUAAAACAAAAUUACGAUAGAAAAAUUGCAUAAGACUCAGAGCCAGAUAUUGAAAACAAAAGCAAAAACAAAAACAAAAAACAUUUAUUUCACAUAAACAUUGAUGUUUAACAAUUAAUUAAUAAAAAACAGAGAAACAAAACAAUUUAAAAGAAAUUGUAAGCAAACAGUAGACACAUACUGUAAGACAAACGGUUAAAGAUGAUAACAAGCAAAAAAACAAAAACAACCACAAACAAUUAGCAACAGUUUUAAGCACCACAUGAGCAUAGUGAAAUAUUCAAAAAUGUAAUAAUAACAAGAACAAAGGGCUGGGCCAAUGAGCGCCCCACGUUGCUGAGCGUUAAGCGCUCUCUCUCGGUAACUGUAUUAGCACACGUAUGUAUAUAUAUCAGGCAACACUUGAACGCAGUGGCGCGCAGUGGUACAGCAAACUUCAAGAGCCUAUUUAAAUCUAAACGGUAGCUAUUGAAACUAAAAACUUAAACACUAAUUGGUA